ensembl:snoRNA
AUCCUUUUGUAGUUCAUAUGUGUGAUGAUUAGACUUUGGCUUCCUCAAACUUUGUGAUGAUAUUGGCCCUUUACCUGUCUGAUG